rnacentral:lncRNA from 1 species
AAGAAAAACCCCUUCGAUUAUAUAUUUUUCUGUUUCAUAGAAAGGUUAUUUUGAAAGUAUUGAGCUGUAUGUUGCAAAAUAUUCAUUUUUCCCCAGCUAUUAAGUCAUACAGAAAAUUUCCUCGGGUCAUGUUUCCUUUCCUAAACGUCCUCUCUUCUACAGAGGUCAGAUUGCUCUGCUGGCAUUUCACGAUACACAGCCGAUCAGCCAGCUAAGCGCAGGCUUCAGCAUGUUUCAGAAUCUCUGUUUGAGACUAUCCAUCCCUUUUCCCACUCACCCUGCCACCCCCGAGAAGCUACCUGUAAGACACAUAGAUGGACUGGUUAAGUGCGGUGCAGUUAGUUGAAGUUACAGUACAUGGCUCAGUUGUAGCAUUCUGAGGAGGCAGCUUGUAAACCUCUUUUGUGUCUGAAAUACUCACUUAUAAGGAGUUGGUCAAGUGGGAACAAAGGUUCUGUGAUCAUUUAAAACAACAGACGGUUCCCAGAGAAAUCUCCCGUACCGCCAAAUGGAUUUUGUUACGUUAUCAGGAGAGUGGCAACGUGCUUCAUUUAGCAAAGUGAGAUUUCAAAGCAAAUGCGUCUCUGGGGGAAAAUCUAAAAUCAAUAAGAGACCUGGAUUUAUGCUGUGAAUUUUCAGAGAUGGCUCCAUGAUGUUGUUCCAUCUCCAUAUCCUGUGCUAAUCCUGAAAGAUCCCAUCAUGCUUGUGAUCAAGAGCUUUGUCGUAUGUUUACAGGGUAGACAGGACUGGAACUAUUUCUGCAGCUUCUGGGAGCCUGAUGCUAAGCAAUGUGACAACAUAAAUCUGAAAACAUUAUUACUGUUGGAAACAACUGGAAAAAUUUCUCAGGGGACAUAUUUUCACUUAUUCACACCUUCUACUGUGGCAAAAAUGGACUAUUUUCCUCACCGAAAACCAGCAGUAUAAUGCCCAUCUGAUACAUGCCUCAAGGAACUCUUAUUUAAAAUCUGUUGAAAGUAAGUCAAUGAACAACUUGCUUAAAGAUAGCUUUAGUCGGCUGUAUGGCUAUUUGUGGCUCAAGAAUAAGCAUAAACUAAUAUUAGCAGUCUGGCUUUAAGCUAUUGGGGGAAAUAAAAAUGAGCAAUGAAGCA